UACGGAGGGGGCGAGCGUUGCUCGGAUUUACUGGGUGUAAAGGGCACGUAGGCGGUCUUGUAAGCCCUGCCUUAAAGGCUCUGGCUCAACCAGAGUAGGCGGUAGGGGACUGCAGGACUUGAGGAUGGGAGAGGUAAGCGGAAUUCCCGGUGUAAGGGUGAAAUCUGUAGAUAUCGAGAGGAACACCUGAGGUGAAGACGGGUUGCUGGGCCGACACUGACGCUGAGUGCGCGAAAGCCAGGGGGAGC
rnacentral:rRNA from 1 species